rnacentral:rRNA from 1 species
UACAGAGGGGGCAAGCGUUAUUCGGAAUUAUUGGGCGUAAAGGGCGCGUAGGCGGCCUGGCAAGUGGAAGGUGAAAUCCCUCGGCUUAACCGAGGAACUGCCCUCCAAACUGCUUGGCUUGAGUCCGGGAGAGGUGAGUGGAAUUCCCAGUGUAGCGGUGAAAUGCGUAGAUAUUGGGAGGAACACCAGUGGCGAAGGCGGCUCACUGGACCGGAACUGACGCUGAGGAGCGAAAGUGUGGGGAGCGAACAGG